rnacentral:rRNA from 1 species
CUGCAGCCCGAGUGGUGAUCGAUUUUAUUGAGCCUAAAGCGUCCGUAGCCGGACUAGUAAACCCUUGGGUAAAUUGGGCAGCUUAACUGUCCGAAUUCCGAGGGGGCUGCUAGUCUUGGGACCGGGAGAGGUCAGAGGUACUCAAGGGGUAGGGGCUAAAUCCUGUAAUCCUUUGGGGACCACCAGUGGCGAAGGCGUCUGACUAGAACGGAUCCGACGGUAAGGGACGAAACCCUGGGGCGCGAACCGGAUUAGAUACCCGCGUAGUCC